rnacentral:rRNA from 1 species
UACGUUAGCGGCGGACGGGUGAGUAACACGUGGGUAACCUACCUAUAAGACUGGGAUAACUUCGGGAAACCGGAGCUAAUACCGGAUAAUAUUUCGAACCGCAUGGUUCGAUAGUGAAAGAUUGUUUUGCUAUCACUUAUAGAUGGACCCGCGCCGUAUUAGCUAGUUGGUAAGGUAACGGCUUACCAAGGCGACGAUACGUAGCCGACCUGAGAGGGUGAUCGGCCACACUGGAACUGAGACACGGUCCAGACUCCUACGGGAGGCAGCAGCC